rnacentral:rRNA from 1 species
UACCAGACUCCUACGGGAGGCAGCAGUGGGGAAUAUUGCACAAUGGGGGAAACCCUGAUGCAGCGACGCCGCGUGAGCGAUGAAGUAUUUCGGUAUGUAAAGCUCUAUCAGCAGGGAAGAAAAUGACGGUACCUGACUAAGAAGCCCCGGCUAACUACGUGCCAGCAGCCGCGGUAAUACGUAGGGGGCAAGCGUUAUCCGGAUUUACUGGGUGUAAAGGGAGCGUAGACGGCGAUGCAAGCCAGAUGUGAAAGCCCGGGGCUCAACCCCGGGACUGCAUUUGGAACUGCGUGGCUGGAGUGCAGGAGGGGCAGGCGGAAUUCCUGGUGUAGCGGUGAAAUGCGUAGAUAUCAGGAGGAACACCGGCGGCGAAGGCGGCCUGCUGGACCGCGACUGACGUUGAGGCUCGAAAGCGUGGGGAGCAAACAGGAUUAGAUACCCCCGUA